AUCGCUUCUCGGCCUUUUGGCUAAGAUCAAAGUGUAGUAUCUGUUCUUAUCAGCUUAAUAUCUGAUACGAUCCCAUGUGGGAUCUACGAUAUUAAACUGAUUUUUGGAUAUGUCAAACUGAUUUCUAGUGGUUUACUACACCUUUGCAAUGGGUCGCUAGUACCUCAGUUAUAUGAACGCAAUAUCCGAACUAUA